AGCGGCGGACGGGUGAGUAACACGUGGGUAACCUGCCCAAGAGACUGGGAUAACACCUGGAAACAGAUGCUAAUACCGGAUAACAACACUAGACGCAUGUCUAGAGUUUGAAAGAUGGUUCUGCUAUCACUCUUGGAUGGACCUGCGGUGCAUUAGCUAGUUGGUAAGGUAACGGCUUACCAAGGCAACGAUGCAUAGCCGAGUUGAGAGACUGAUCGGCCACAUUGGGACUGAGACACGGCCCAAACUCCUACGGGAGGCAGCAGUAGGGAAUCUUCCACAAUGGACGAAAGUCUGAUGGAGCAACGCCGCGUGAGUGAAGAAGGGUUUCGGCUCGUAAAGCUCUGUUGGUAGUGAAGAAAGAUAGAGGUAGUAACUGGCCUUUAUUUGACGGUAAUUACUUAGAAAGUCACGGCUAACUACGUGCCAGCAGCCGCGGUAAUACAUAGGUGGCAAGCGUUGUCCGGAUUUAUUGGGCGUAAAGCGAGUGCAGGCGGUUCAAUAAGUCUGAUGUGAAAGCCUUCGGCUCAACCGGAGAAUUGCAUCAGAAACUGUUGAACUUGAGUGCAGAAGAGGAGAGUGGAACUCCAUGUGUAGCGGUGGAAUGCGUAGAUAUAUGGAAGAACACCAGUGGCGAAGGCGGCUCUCUGGUCUGCAACUGACGCUGAGGCUCGAAAGCAUGGGUAGCGAACAGGAUUAGAUACCCUGGUAGUCCAUGCCGUAAACGAUGAGUGCUAAGCGU
rnacentral:rRNA from 1 species